UCCCUCAUAGUUUAAUCAGUAAAGAAUCUGCCUGCACUGCAGGAGACCCGGGUUUGAUUCCUGGUUUGGGAA
rnacentral:tRNA from 1 species